rnacentral:rRNA from 1 species
CCUACGGGAGGCAGCAGUGAGGAAUAUUGGUCAAUGGGCGCGAGCCUGAACCAGCCAAGUAGCGUGAAGGAUGACUGCCCUACGGGUUGUAAACUUCUUUUAUAAAGGAAUAAAGUGAGGCACGUGUGCCCUUUUGUAUGUACUUUAUGAAUAAGGAUCGGCUAACUCCGUGCCAGCAGCCGCGGUAAUACGGAGGAUCCGAGCGUUAUCCGGAUUUAUUGGGUUUAAAGGGAGCGUAGAUGGGUUGUUAAGUCAGUGGUGAAAGUUUGCGGCUCAACCGUAAAAUUGCCAUUGAUACUGGCAGUCUUGAGUACGGUUGAGGUAGGCGGAAUGCGUGGUGUAGCGGUGAAAUGCUUAGAUAUCACGAAGAACCCCGAUUGCGAAGGCAGCUUACUAAGCCGCCACUGACAUUGAUGCACGAAAGUGUGGGUAUCAAACAGGAUUAGAUACCCUUGUAGUC